rnacentral:rRNA from 1 species
GAUGAACGCUGGCGGCGUGCCUAAUACAUGCAAGUCGAGCGAACGGACGAGAAGCUUGCUUCUCUGAUGUUAGCGGCGGACGGGUGAGUAACACGUGGAUAACCUACCUAUAAGACUGGGAUAACUUCGGGAAACCGGAGCUAAUACCGGAUAAUAUUUUGAACCGCAUGGUUCAAAAGUGAAAGACGGUCUUGCUGUCACUUAUAGAUGGAUCCGCGCUGCAUUAGCUAGUUGGUAAGGUAACGGCUUACCAAGGCAACGAUGCAUAGCCGACCUGGGAGGGUGAUCGGCCACACUGGAACUGGGACACGGGCCAGACCCCUACGGGAGGCAGCAGUAGGGAAUCUUCCGCAAUGGGCGAAAGCCUGACGGAGCAACGCCGCGGGAGUGAUGAAGGGCUUCGGAUCGUAAAACUCUGUUAUUAGGGAAGAACAUAUGUGUAAGUAACUGUGCACAUCUUGACGGUACCUAAUCAGAAAGCCACGGCUAACUACGUGC